CCUGUCCGCCUGCGUCAGGGCACACUCCUCCACCUUCUCAUCCCUGAUGACUGCACAGGACACUUGGCUGUGCCACCAGCGUUCUUUGUGAUGACCCUCUGGUUUACACAGGGACUUCCGGACAGUCCUGCGAUGUGCCUUGCAAACCAUCAACGACCCCUCGAAGUGGCUGGCGCAGGAGCCAUCCCUUCUCAUGUCAGCCUGUCGGAGGGUGCAAGUUGUACCUCCUUGUUUGUGUGUGCAUUUCCUGGCUCGGGUGAGAUGGAGCCGGGCGUUAGGUUAGGUUGGCCCUCGUGUCCUGCAGCCUGUUUGUGUCCUUCGCCCGUUGUGACAUCGAGGCAUUCUGCUUUUAAUUUUUGAUGUGUAUGAGCUCAAAAUACCACAAAUACUAACCAUUUGUCUUUUAUAUGUAUUGCAAAGAUUUUUCUACUUGUUCUUUGUCUCUCAGCUGUGUUUUUCUUUCUUGUGCAAACGUGUCUUUCUCUGAUUGUCACAGCAAUGUCUGUGUGUGUUUUUUUUUAAGCGUAGAAAACCUGGAAAAUACAGAAAAGCACAAAGCUAAAGAAAUAAAAUUGCCGGGUGCUUCGCCUGGAGACGCACGCU
rnacentral:lncRNA from 1 species